GUGCUCACUUUAGCAACACAUAUACUAAAAUUGGAAUAAUACAGAGAAGAUUAGCAUGGCCCCUGUUCGAGAAUGACACUAAAAUUCAUGAGCAUUCUGUAUUAAAA
ensembl:snRNA U6 U6 spliceosomal RNA